AUUGAACGCUGGCGGAAUGCUUUACACAUGCAAGUCGAACGGCAGCACGGGGCAACCUGGUGGCGAGUGGCGAACGGGUGAGUAAUACAUCGGAACGUGCCCAAUCGUGGGGGAUAACGUAGCGAAAGUUACGCUAAUACCGCAUACGAUCUACGGAUGAAAGCGGGGGAUCGCAAGACCUCGCGCGAGUGGAGCGGCCGAUGUCAGAUUAGGUAGUUGGUGGGGUAAAGGCUCACCAAGCCAACGAUCUGUAGCUGGUCUGAGAGGACGACCAGCCACACUGGAACUGAGACACGGUCCAGACUCCUACGGGAGGCAGCAGUGGGAAUUUGGACAAUGGGCGCAAGCCUGAUCCAGCCAUUCCGCGUGCAGGAUGAAAGGCCUU
rnacentral:rRNA from 1 species